GGAGUGCCGUGCGCGCACGUGCAUGUGUGCAGUUUGCCCCCCCCCCCUUGCAACUACUGCGCGCUUUUACGCACACAGGAAGCAAGCAGUUCAAGUUCUGCGUGUGGCACCAAUAAAUCGAUGGACCCCCACCCAAAUAAUCCUUUCCCUGAAGACCACCAUAACCUCAAAAACAGGACAACGCUGCUCUUCACAAUGCCCACCUGACAAAGGACUACUUCCUGAGGAAAAACUCUUUUGGACCAUCCUGCGUGGUGUAUGACGAAAGUGGAUCAAAGGUACACACACACACACAGUAUGGUUUACUAAAAGCACUU